rnacentral:tRNA from 1 species
GCCUGGGUGGCUCAGUUGGUUAAGCAUCGGACUCUUAAUUUCGGGUCAGGUCGUGAUCUCAUGGUUCGUGGGUUCAAGCCCCGCAUCAGGCU